CAGUAAAUUGCACCAUAUCAGUAAUGCUCAGUUGUGAUAGUACUUAUUGAACUUGGCUACAUGCUUCUACAGGGAGAUGUCCAUGGAAGAUUACCUGGGAAGGCAAAUCGUUUAUCUGGGGAGAUAGAACAACUCAUAUGAAAAAGCAGUGACCAAUGAAAGAAAACCACGACCACCGCUCAGAGCCCUGGAUUGAGAUGAACACGGGAGUAGUGAUGCCUGCUGAUUCUAAGACUUGGAAUGGUUCUAGCAAAAAGGUCCUGAUGAGUGUUGUGAGGCACCACCUUAUAAUGAUCAAG
rnacentral:lncRNA from 1 species